ensembl:lncRNA
CUUUAAGGCCGCUCUCACAUGAUGACGGUCUGUGGAGAAUCCUGAAGAAGAAGACUCCACACAAAAGAGCGCACUGUCUGCCGCAAAGGUCAGAGUUCACAACAAACGCACAACACUGGUUGGUUCUGCAGAAAAACUCUCUGGUGGUCCAAAAGCAGCAUCCACAGGUGAACUGAUGACGUCACAGAACCGCUCCUCAGGUGUCAAUGUGUGUGUCUAUGUGUGGUUGUGUUUGUUUGAGUGGUUGUGUGUGGUGUGCAUGUGGUCAUGUUGGCUAGGAUAGGCUCCAGCAUCAUCAGACAGAGAUCCCGUCAUUCCUGGUGAGGGGGAGCUGGGGGGGUCCGGGUCAGAUGCUCGUUUUUAACGUUGGUCGGAUCAGCUGAUCUUCAAUCAGUCGACCCCCACCAUAAUUUUCUAGAUGUAAAGCAGAAUUUGCUUUGCGUUUUAGGUGGGGGCUAUGUGUAUGUAUAGAUAUGUGCGGGGGUGGGGGUGGUUUCUAGUAAUUUCUGAGGAAAUUUAUAGCAAACGGAGGUGAGACUUCAAAACCGCUGCUUGGGGGCGGAGCUUAGCCGGAACGACGCCCCCCCGCUCCCGCUCCCUCUCACCUCCCGGUGUGGCGGCGGACGGGGGGAGGCCAGUCGCGGAGUUUCUAUCGAGAGGAGAAGUUUGGACAUGAACGCGUCCCGCGGGCUGACACAGGCUGAUCUCUGAGCCCCUCCCCGGCCGGUGGCACCAUGACGCUCCUCCGCUGCGCCCCGUGGAGCGCCCUGCUCCUCGCGGCUCUGCUGCAGAUCUGCCAAGCAGACUGUGAGCAAAAGUGUGAACCUCAGAAUUUAACAGAGUUGAUAAUAGUAACCACCAGCAUCAGUUUAAACCAUCCAGCCAACUGCACAUUAUCCACCGGUAACCAAACAAAAGAAGGAACACUGACUGAUCUGUUCCCUGGAACCGUCUAUGAAGUCAACUUUAAAUGUUUUAACUGCUGUGGAAAUAUCACAACCAAACCGGAUAAAGUCAGAAACCUCACUGUUACUGAAGUCACCACUGUCUCUAUGACUCUGAGCUGGAUGGAACCAUUGGGAAACAGUUCAUUCUAUGAAGUACAAUGGUCAGAUGGAUCAUCUACUCUAAAAGACAAUGUGACUGAUAAAAACAUGAUUAUAUCUAACCUGACUGCUGGUGUCCAGUAUGGCAUAAAUGUCACAGCUGUGGCUGCAGAUAAGCAAACUAAAGGAGAGAGUGUGUUUACCUCCAACUAUACAAAACCAGAUACAGUCAGUGACGUCACUGUUACUGAUUCCACCACGUCCUCUAUAUCUCUGAACUGGACCAACCCAUCAGGAAACAGCUCCCCUAAUACAGUAGAACAGUCAGAUGGACCAACUACUCUAAAUCUCGUUGUAACUGAUAAGAGCACCACUAUAUCUUACCAGACCACUGGUGUCCAGAACACCACAAGUGUCACAGACAUUCCAGCAGAUAAUCAAACUAAAGAAAAUAGUUUGUUAACUACCAGUUAUACACGUAAGUAAAGAUGGAAAACAGUUAAACUUGCUGAGAAAUGUGUGCAAACAAUAACCUUAAAUUAGUCCUAUGCUAUUUUGGAAAUAGAAAGUCAUGAUUAACUUAAAACCAAAUGAGCCAUUUUUCAAAAGAAUGACUCAAUACCUUACAAAAUGUGAACCACAGAGAAGGGUUGGAACAUUUAAUUAAAAAUGUUGGAAUGUUCUCUAAAACAGUGACACCAAAAUAAACAUUCAAAUUGAAGAACAAAAUGAAAUGUACCUAAAAGAAAAGUUUAGGAGACAAAUGAUGGUGUUUAUAUACAACGUAUUUGGAUGGAUGGAUGGAUGGAUGGAUGGAUGGAUGGAUGGAUGGAUGGAUGGAUAAAGAUAUAGAGGUAUGUAUGUCUAGAUCAGGGGUCUGAAACCUGUGGCUCCAGAGCCACAUGUGGAUCUUUUAUCUCUUCAUGGUGGCUCUCUGGCUGAAGAAAAAUAAAAUAGUAAUUUUCACAAAAAUUGGAGAUUAGCUAUUAUUUUAGCAACAUGCUAACGUUUUUGGUUAAAUUUUUAUCUAUUUUGGCUAAUUUAGAGUUUAAGCUUCUAUUUUAUCAACAUGCUAACAUUUUUGACAAAAUUAGUUUACUGAAGAAUUUUAUGCUAAUUUGGAGUUUAGCUAGCAAUUACGCAACAAGCUAGCUUUUUUUUUUGGGCAAAUUUGGCCUCCAAUUAGUUUUUUAUGCCAAUUUGUUGUUUAGCUAAUAUUUUAGCAAUUUGCUAACAUUUUUAGCUAAUUUCUUAUCUACGAGGGUUUUUAGGCUAAUUUAGAGUUUAAGCUUAUAUUUCAGCAACAUGUUAACAGUUUUGACUAAUUUAGUUUACUGAAGAAUUUUAUGCUAAUUUGGAUUUUAGCUAGUAUUUACGCAACAAGCUAGCGAAUUUGUCCUCUAAUUACUUUUUAUGCUAAUUUGUUGUUUCGCUAAUAUUUUAGCAAUAUGCUAACAUUUUUAGCUAAUUUAUUAUCUACUGGGGGUUUUAGGCUAAUUUUGAGUUUAGCUUUUAUUUCAGCAACAUGCUAACAUUUUUGGCUGAUUUAAUUUACAGAGAAAUGUUAUGCUCAUUUGAAGCUUAGCUAGUAAUUAAGCAACAAGCUAGCUUUUUUGCUACCAAAGGUAACGUAAAAAAAAUCCCUUUGAGAGAUACUAGUUUCUUUUUUAUAUUUUUUCUUUUGUUCGUGCCAAAAAUAGACAUUAUUCAUAAUUAUUUAAAAAAAGGUUAUAAAUGCAAAUCCAAAUUUCUUAAAGGCAAACGUAAGUCAAUGCGGCUCCUUUUAGGUUUUGAUCAGUAGAAAACGAGCCCAAAUGGCUCUUUUACUAUUAAAGGUUGCCGACCUCUGGUCUAGAGGAAAGAGACGUUGGAUGGAUUCAUAGAUGAAACGAUGGAUACAUGAUUAGAUGAAUUGAUGAAUAGAUAUAGAAAUGCAUGAGUUGAUGGAUGGUAAUUAUUUUACCUGUUUACCUAUUUUACUGUUUUAUGGUACAUUCCCAAGAUAAAUGUGUUUGUUUUUACUUGAUCUGUUUUGUAUAUAACAGAGGAAAAAAAGGUUUAAUUGGUAAAUUGUCCUGACCAGUAUGUGUUUGAAAAUGUCAGUUAUAGAAUAAAAUACCAUUUAAGAUUUCUGUAAUUUACACAACAGACAAAACUUGCUUUUUUUCCUGUUUUUCUCGAGUCUUUUGCUACUCUGUAGAGAAACGGAUCAUUUCAUGUUUACGACAGUUUUCAUCUUUUUAACUCCUCUUCCUUACAGAACCAGAUACAGUCAGUGACGUCACUGUUACUGAUUCCACCACGUCCUCUAUAUCUCUGAACUGGACCGAACCAUCAGGAAACAGCUCCCCUAAUACAGUAGAACAGUCAGAUGGACCAACUACUCUAAAUCCCGUUGUGACUGAUAAGAGCACCACUAUAUCUUACCAGACCACUGGUGUCCAGAACACCACAAGUGUCACAGACAUUCCAGCAGAUAAUCAAACUAAAGAAAAUAGUUUAACUACCAGUUAUACAC